rnacentral:rRNA from 1 species
GACAGAGGGUGCAAACGUUGUUCGGAAUUACUGGGCGUAGAGCGCGUGUAGGCGGCCCUGCAAGUCGGGUGUGAAAUCCCACGGCUCAACCGUGGAAGUGCACUCGAAACUGCAGGGCUAGAGUCCUGGAGAGGAAGGUGGAAUGCUUGGUGUAGAGGUGAAAUUCGUAGAUAUCAAGCGGAACACCGGUGGCGAAGGCGGCCUUCUGGACAGUGACUGACGCUGAGACGCGAAAGCGUGGGGAGCAAACAGG